GUUUUUCAAUUUUUUUCACUUUUGUUUUUAUUUCAUGGAGACGUUUAUUUGACAGGCCAGUCAUCCAAGACGGUCUGCUUGUUUGUCUACUAAUGUUUGAGUAUUUCCUAAAUAUUUAAACGUAUUUAGUUAAUUAUUUUUGAUUCAUUCUCCAUCAAACAAGCCAAUGCUAACAUGAGCUAGCUUAGCAUAAUGUUAACGGUGUUGAUAGAAACUCUGAGCUGCUAAUAAUCUUAACUUCAGCAGAGCGUCUACAGAAACUUUAGACAGAAAUAGUCAGAGGAUAUUAUCUGUAAUCAUUUUAUUUAUAAUAUUAACAACAUUAUAGACCUCUGACAGUUAGAAGUGAUUGUAGCAUCUAGCUGCUUCCUCCCCGCUGCUGGUUUAUUUGUGGAGAUAAUCACGCCGGCCGUUCAUAACUCCCUCCAGAAACACGCAUCGCUCCGUGGCUCCAUACAAACAUCUAAUGAGCCGAUUCAACCUGCAGACGCCCACUCAGCUGCUUCUGAUUAAACCGUCACUUAAGGAGCUGCUGCAGAGAAAAUGGGAGCUGCAACCUGCUGGGUCAUGAAAGACAGAAACAAAGCAGCGGCGCGGGCCGCCCACACCGAGGUGGAGGAGGAAAACAGCCGACAUGAAGACUGAAGUUUCUUCGCCACAAACUGCUGAAGCUCAUGAUGGAUGGAGAAGAUCUGUGAACAGAACCGGAAGCAUCUUGUUUCUCCGGCUGCAUGUCGGGUUCGACUGCUGGACGAAAUGACAGGAAAACCUCUGGAGGACCGGGCUUCUGGUGAAGAGCAGAGACUUCAGAGGGCCGCAGCUGAUUAGUUGGUUCAAAUAAAGGCCAAUUGAUGGACAAUGGAUCAGGAUUAGAGCAGAAAGAAGCCUCAGAAACGUUCUGCUCCUUUAUCUGGCGUCUCUUUCAUCUGGCGUGGAGAAGAUUAGUCCAGCUGCUGGCGAGGAGCAUCGAUUAGCGUCAGCUCGCAUUCCUCAUGCAGCAGCGGCUGCACAUGAUGGAGCUGCUGCAGGAGUUGAGAUUAUUCCUGAACGCUGCUCUGGCAGCAGCAGAUGAUUCUUCACAGCUAAAAUGUUUAAACAGCAGAAACUUUCAUCUGAGCAUUUAUCACAAAACAUGAGAAUUAAUCUGAUAAUAAAUCAGACACUUUGACUGCUUUUCAUUUUUAUAAUAGUUACACAGAAAGAAGACUUUAUGCAAAGUUAAACGUGGAAAAAUGUUGGGCUAAUUUUGUUAUUUUAAUAAUAAAUGUUAUAGUAAGUCUAAUAUAUAACAUUUAGACUCUUCCAAAUCAAAGCUGCGCUGCUUCCUGAAGAUGAUUUUCUCUGAUCGGUUCUGGUUUAUUCUUCAUGAGGAACUGGAUUCACAAGCAGGAAAAGUUCAGUUUUUACCAAACUGAAUCUGAGUUCUUACAGUUUCAUUUACAGCUAAACUCUGACACAAACUUAUUAUUUAUUACUAUAAACUCUGGUUUCAGGUUUCUGAUAGAAAAAUGAGAUUUAUUAGAACAUGUUACAGUCAUCACAUUAUAAAUGAUCCCACUCAGUUUCACUACUUUAAAAUUCUUAUUAUUUUUAAUAGCCACACAGUGUUUUAUAAUCUAGGUGCGUUAUUCUUGAUUUUGAUCUAUUUUAAUAUUUUUAUUUUUGUGUCAUGACUCGAUGUUUCGUCACUUUGAGGCUGAAUUUUCUCCACUAAGGGACAAAAAAUUAUAUUUUCAUUUUAUUCCGAUUCAGAUUAUUUAUGAUUCUCAACCAUGUUAGUAAAUAUUUGUUGGCUCUUCAGCUGUAAGAACAUUCUGGGAAUUUUCCUCUGAAAUAUUUUUGUUCAUGUACAGCUCUGAUUCUGAUAUAUUAGGUAAUUCAUGAAUAUUUUUAUGCUAAGCAGAAGAUUUUAAAUUCACCUGUUGGAUGAUUCUUGUAUGUAAAACCUGAGCUGUUUUGUCCCUGUUGAGGUGCCGUAAAGCGGCUGGAAGUGUGGUAAAACCUGUCGGUCUGCUGCGGCUCAUUAAGGCGAACUGAACUGAUCCUGGAUGUGAAACAGGUGAAACCUGGACUUGUGUCUGGUCCGUUUUCAGUGGAGCAGCUGGACGAGGAGAUCCACGGCUCCCUGCAGACAGAACCAGCUUUCAGAACCCGUCCAUCCUCCUUCCUUCUGCUCCACCGCCGGUAUCGGCCUCUUCCUCUGCUCUUCGCUCAGCAGGUCUGAGAAAACCUCGCAGCCCAGGAAGGUUUUUUGGAAGCCCGUUAAAGGAUUUCCUCCGUAGGUCCAAGUGUUCUGCAGAAGCUUCAGGAACAGGAGGCCCCCAGGGGCCCGAACCGGGACCACUGAUGGACCAAACAGAACUGAAGAUCUGAUGACGGAUCAGAAAAACAUCAUAAGCAGAGAGAGGAAAGGUUGAGAGAUGAAUUUCCAUUUUAAUGGAUCUACCCGUUAUUUAUGUCUUUGUUUCAAGACUGUAAGAUAAAUUUGGCUCAUACAGUUCAGUCUGCAGCAGGCGAGCCGAUUUUAAUCCUUUAACCCAAAACCAGUGGGAUCUGUUCCAUUCCAGAUGUGAGAACAAAUCGGAUCUGAUAGUUCUGAACAUUUUAUCAACUUUUUAUGUCAUAAUUCAUCAGCAGAAGAAUCUAAACAGCGUCUGAAAAUGAUAAUAAUGAAGUGAUGAAAUCAGACCGAGUCAGUGAACGCAUCACAUCCCAACCCCACCAGUCCUGGUCCGACUCCACAUCCAAACAGAACCGGGUCAGAAGCUGCAGCUAUAGCCGUCUCAGCAACUUUACAAUCCAUCCAGAGACGGCGGCCAUCUUUCCUGUGGCGGCCAUGUUUCCUGCUGGGGGACGGCUGCAUAGAUGUUCUGCUUUAGGGUGAGGAAGCGUUCCCACAGACGUCUGACUGCGUCGCAUUUCAUUAGUUGCAGAAAAGACCAGGCAAAAAAAAAAAGGAUUUCUUCCCAGCAGUUAAUCUGAUGCUGAAGAAUCGGCCGACGCCAACUAGUGGCGCCGAGUCGGGUCAAACUUUCCUCUGAUCCUCCAGAUUCCCUGAAUGGUGUUUAAUUCAUCUGAACACAAUUAGAUUUUUCAUAACAUAAAAAGAUUUGCAUUAAUAGUUUGUUUUCAUCCAGAACAGAAAAUAAAAAACCGAAGCAGAAAACAUCAAAUUAGUUUUAAAAUGUUCAUUAAUUGAGACCAGAUUCAUGUGCUUUUAUUCCUGACAGACACCAUAAAUAUUUCACACAGUUAAAAUUCAUGUGUUCUUCAUUUAUUUAUGAUUAUGACACAACAAUAUGAAUGUGGCUGUUUUGACUGGAAACUUUUCCUAAUUUGAUCAGUUCUGAUCAUCUCAGGCCUUCAAAACAAACUUUGCACAUUUAUUUUAUUCCUUAUGUAUAAACAAAGUGAGGAUGACCCGGUCCAGUCCGGUCCGGUCCGGUUCCUCUCCGUCCAUCGUUUCAUGAACACAGACAGGAUCAUGAGGCUGUUUCUUCCCUGCAGCAGGAGAAUCAGGCACCUUAAAGACACAGCAGCAGCAUUAAACUGUAUGACGUCUAUAAAGUGAUGCAGCAGCGUGUUGCUCAGUUUCAUCCCUUCCAACCAGAUCUACAAUAAACAGAACAACAGCAAACCCCCGGGACUAAACAAACAAACAAGAAACAGCAAAUCAACAAAGUAGCUAAUUACGAAGAUCUGCGUUGCUGCUGGAGAUCAUUAGUGGAGGGAUAUUAAUGCAGAUUACUGUUUGCAGCUUUGAACACAGGAAGCGUGUUGCAGAGUGGCAGCGUUAAUAAUGCAGGCGCCGGCCUGGGAGCCAACCUCCAGGACUGCAGCGCAAUUCAUCUCAAUAUUUGAUAUCUGCAGAAAAAAUGAUGUUAAAGAUGUUUAUUAGAUGAGAAAUGAAGCAGACAGGCAGCUGAUUACUGAUCCGUUUAAAACCAGAGUUACAUUCAGUUCUGCUCAUCAGAAGCUGCAGACAUUUUGUCCCGCUCUGGUUCUGGAAAAUGUUUUCUGAUCCGAGUGUUUCUGAACUCAGCUGUAACACAUCAUGUUGGCACAGGAUCAAAAUGGUAUGAUAGUGCUUUGAAAUAUUUACCUGCCUUCCUUCACUUCAGCCUGAUCUGAAGAAAUCCUCAGGGUGUCUGCGUCCUUAAAAAGUCUUAAAUUCAUUUUAAAAUGUUGGCUGGCCUUUAAUCUGCUAAUCACAGGCCUUAAACUUCGUCAUGGCGUCUCCUUCAUCUUACUCAGACUUCAUGUCCUCUGACUCCACCUGGUUGAGGCUAAUGCUAACUAGCUGCUAAUCCCUGCUAGCUAACUAGCUUUUUUUCUGAACUCUGAAGGUUUAGUGGAUUUAAGCUCACAGCCUGACCUAGUGAAUAAUUUUAUUUCUAUAAAAUUGUUACCAGGAAAACAGUCUGGAGCCACAGAAAGAGAUUAAAAGGAGGAAAAGUUAUUAAUGUUUUCAACUAAAGUAACAAUGUGGCAAUAUUCUAUUGGGGAAGAAAUUAUACUCCUUCUUAGUAUAAUUCCAAAAGGAGUAUAAUUUCUUCCCCAAUAGUUUCCAUUCAAUGUUUAAAAAUAUGUAAAAUCUGUGGUUUUAUUCCUGUCGGGUCUGAAAUUUCAUUCAUGAUGUUCUUAGGAGUCUUAAAAAGUCUGGAAUCUGCAGGAAUCCUGAUUCUGAUUCUGCCGUUUCAUGGCCCGCCUGCAGACCUGCUGUCUGGCUCGGGUCAGACGGCCCGGCUCUGUUGGUCUCUUCAGACCCGGUUCUGUUGGUCUCUUCAGACCCGGCUCAGGUCCAGUUAUGCUUCCUGGAGUCUCCUGAAGGAUCCUGGUGGUUUCACUGUGACUCUCCCUCCAUUAAUCUGUUCAGCAGAAGGAGCUGAGAGCCUGACAUGAUUUCACGCCCUGCAGGGUUUUCUUUUCACCGAAGCUGUUUGAAAUGUGAGCCUUUUGUCCUUGAACUUCUUGUUCUUUGUUUCAGCUUCGUUCUCAGACCCGAUAAUCCCGAACACGGCGCACAAAGAGACGGAUCAUUCAUCCGCCAAUGGCCUGGCGCUUUUAGGAGAGACCAGAGAUUAGUCACUGCGCUCGCUGCAGCGCUUUGUCUUCCUCUGUUUGUGGCAAACAUCAGGAAACAAACACGCCUCUUCAUCAGGGAUUCCAGGGAGAGGAAGACGGGAUGAAAGGGAGGAGAGGAGGAACGGUGGAGCAGGUGGAGGAGGGGAAGGAUAAACCGAUGAGGAGGAAAAGAACAGAGAGGACAGAUGGCUGGGAGGAGAAGGUGAGGAAUGAGGAGAAGGAAGCAUGACAAAAGGAAGAACGCCGAGGAUGGAGGAGAAGUUGGAGCGAAGGAUGGAUGGGAGGAAAGAACAGAUGGUGGAAAAGAGACGGAGAGAGAGAGGAAGGAGGGAUGAUAAAAGGAGCAGGAAGAUUGGAGGGGCAACAGGAAGUGAGAUUUUUAGGAAGAUAAAGAGAAAAUGGAGACAUAAAGAGAACAGAUGGUGAAGGACGCAGAGUACAAACAGACCCGGUUCUGUUUGGACCGCAGGUUCUGUCAGAACAUCAGAACAAUAACCUGGACCUGGAAAAACCUAACAUAAAACUGAAAGUCACUUUGUGAAGAACUUUGAUUCUGCUGCUGAUUGAAGAGCAGCAGGAAGCAGGAGAGAAGACAGGGGGCGCUCUAACGGAGUCGGAGAAGUUUCAGGAAGUUAAUGAAAGCUGCUGAGAUCAGAGCAGCUUUGGACUCGGAUCAAGACUCACCCGAUUCCCCAAGAGAGGAUUUUCCAGGAACAGAAACUUUAUUUCAUCAGCAGGGAAAUUCAAAAUGCUUAAAAAGAAAAUAAAACAAAAAGCAAAACAUGAAAAUAAUGACAAGUUGGAAAACAGAUGAAUCAAAAUGAAUAUGAAUCAGCUCCAACCAGCUGGUUUUCAGCCUGGAUUUAAAGGAGCUCAGUGUUUCCACUGUUUGUCAGUUUUCUGGAACUUCAUUCCAGAUUUGUGGAGCAUAGAUGCUGAAUCCAGAACCAGGAGACCUGAGAGGUCUGAAGGUUGUGAAGAAGAACCUGCAGAUAGAGACACCGGGUGGUGUAGAACCGGGUGGUGUCUCUAUCCUCCUGGUUCUAGUCAGAACUCCAG